rnacentral:tRNA from 1 species
GGAGGUAUAGUUCAGUGACAGAGUGCAUGACUAGCAUGCAUGAGGUCCUGGGUUCAAUCCCCAGCACCUCCA